rfam:TPA: Bos taurus chromosome 4, whole genome shotgun sequence.
UCCCUGAUUGCUCAGAUGAUAAAGAAUCUGCCUGCAAUGCAGGAAACCCUGGUUCGAUCUCUGGGUCAGGGAU